CGGCGAGAUAUACAAAGGCCCCGGCAGCCUCGGCGCGACGAAGUGAUGACCCGGGUCCCCCUCCCCUCGCCUCGCUGAGCGAAACUCCACACUCUCCCACCUCGACCAGUGUGGGGCGGGGCGGCCGGGCUGCGCGCGGCGGAGAAACCCAGGCGACGCCCCCGCGGCGCGAGCGAGCGAGGAGGCGCGGGGGGAGCGGAGAUGGCGUCGCCGGGGGUGGUGGCCGCGGCGCUGGUGGUGGCGGCGCUCGCGGCGUUCUGCGGCACGGACCCGCUGCGGACGGGCAGCAUGGUGGACUUCCCGGGCUUCGAGGCGCACUUCGUCGACCUCCCGGAGCCCGCCGAGAUGCCGCAGCACGCGGACGCCCGCGAGCGGCUCCGCGGCGCGGAGGUGCGGUUCCGCGGCGAGGUGCAGGGGCCCGAGAGCGUCGCCUUCGACCAGCGGGGGCGCGGGCCGUACACGGGCGUCGCCGACGGGCGGGUCGUCUUCUGGGACGGCGAGCGGUGGGCGCACUUCGCGACGGUCUCACCGCGCUGGACGCAGGAGCUCUGCGGCGGGCCCAAGGCGUCGCCCAUGGACUACCUCCCCAACGAGCACAUCUGCGGCCGCCCGCUCGGGCUCCGGUUCGAUAAGAAGAGCGGGGACCUCUACAUCGCCGACGCCUACUUCGGCUUGCUCAAGGUCGGGCCCGAGGGCGGGCUGGCCACGCCGCUGGCGACGGAGGCCGAGGGCGUGCGCUUCAACUUCACCAACGACCUCGAUCUCGACGAGGAGGGCAACGUCUAUUUCACCGACUCCAGCAUCAACUACCAGAGAAGGAAUUUCAUGCAGUUAGUUUUCUCUGGAGAUCCCUCUGGGAGGCUUUUGAAAUACAACCCGCAAACAAAGGAAACGACAGUACUGCAUCGCAACAUCCAAUUUCCCAAUGGUGUGUCCAUGAGCAAGGAUGGCUCAUUCUUUGUCUUCUGUGAAGGAUCACGUGGCAGGUUGAGCAGAUACUGGUUGAAAGGUGAGAAGGCAGGAACCGUGGAUCUUUUCGCCAUCUUGCCUGGAUUCCCAGACAAUGUGCGGACCAACGAGAAGGGCGAGUUCUGGGUCGCGAUCCACUGCCGUCGCAGCCUGUACGCCCGGCUCAUGAGCCGCCAUGUCAAGAUGAGGAAGUUCUUCCUCAGCCUCCCGAUCCCCGCCAAGUACCACUACCUGAUGCAGAUUGGCGGCAAGCUCCACGCGGUGAUCAUCAAGUACAGCCCCGAGGGCGAGGUGCUCGACAUCUUGGAGGACACCAAGGGGGAGGUGGUGAGAGCCGUCAGCGAGGUGGAGGAGAAGGAUGGGAAGCUCUGGAUAGGGUCCGUCCUGAUGCCGUUCAUCGCUGUCUUUGACCUCGCCAAGGGAUCUUAGCCGACCCGGUUUGCUUGAAAACACCGUCGCACGCGUCUCUGAGAGGAUCAGCCAUUCAAAUAAUUUGGUCCUGGAGCAACCUGGAGCUAUUUGACGCUCCAGCUCCUUUUACUAGCAGUUUCUAAUUUGUAGUGAUGCAUUGACCAGACGGUUAGCACGCGAGUGAACACUGACGAGCACGCUGCCGGAUCUUAUGCAGUCGCGCGGAGGGGAUCGGAUCGAAUCAACGAGUCCGGCCGGCGGCGGACGCCAAGAGGAACAUCCACGAGAACGCAAGCGAAGAGCUCGUAUCACACAAAGGCACGCAGAUGGAGACGAGCUGUGAUCCGUAAACGAAACGAACUUAUUGAUUGGCCUCACAAUCAAUGGUUCUAACAGAUUUGCUUGAACACAAGUUUCAGGUUCCAGCAUUUGCUGGCUCUCACAGGAACAAGAAAACUAGAAAA